CCAUUAUAACCAUCCUCAACUUUAUAAUUGGAAGAACAAAUACAAUCUCAAAGUCCAUACAAUCUCAAACUCACCAGGCAUAAUGAUGAGACUUAUGAAAUUACAGUUUCUGGUAGUUCUUGUGUUGAUGAUUUGGUACCAGGGUGGUAAACAUGAUUCCAUUAACAUCAAACCAUUUGGGGUUCCGUCUCCAAAAAAAAUGCAUUUCGCGUUGUGUUAAAACCAGUUAUAUACUCAAGUAUUGUUGUGCUGGGGUAGAAGAAGACUCUUGCUGCAUCCCGAAUGAAGCAUUAUGUAAUAAAGACUGUCCAUCAUUGCAAAAUUGUUGUCCCCACAAAUAAAUAUUAUUGCUAUUAUGAUCAUA